GACAGAGGGUGCAAACGUUGUUCGGAAUUACUGGGCGUAAAGAGCGCGCAGGCGGUCGAAUAAGUCGAAUGUGAAAGCCCCCGGCUCAACUGGGGAGGGUCAUUCGAUACUGUUCGACUUGAAGGCAGGAGAGAGAAGCAGAAUUCCCGGUGUAGUGGUGAAAUGCGUAGAUAUCGGGAGGAAUACCAGUGGCGAAGGCAGCUUCUUGGCCUGUUCUUGACGCUGAGACGCGAAGGCGUGGGGAGCGAACGGG
rnacentral:rRNA from 1 species